rnacentral:rRNA from 1 species
UACCAGCACCCCGAGUGGUCGGGACGAUUAUUGGGCCUAAAGCAUCCGUAGCCGGUCCUGCAAGUCUUCCGUUAAAUCCAGCUGCUCAACAGAUGGGCUGCGGGAGAUACUACAGGGCUAGGAGGCGGGAGAGGCAAGCGGUACUUUAUGGGUAGGGGUAAAAUCCGCUGAUCCAUAGAAGACCACCAGUGGCGAAGGCGGCUUGCCAGAACGCGCUCGACGGUGAGGGAUGAAAGCUGGGGAGCAAACCGG